rnacentral:rRNA from 1 species
GAUGAACGCUGGCGGCGUGCCUAAUACAUGCCAGUCGAGCGAACAGAUGAGGAGCUUGCUCCUCUGACGUUAGCGGCGGACGGGUGAGUAACACGUGUAUAACCUACCUAUAAGACUGGGAUAACUUCGGGAAACCGGAGCUAAUACCGGAUAAUAUAUUGAACCGCAUGGUUCAAUAGUGAAAGACGGUUUUGCUGUCACUUAUAGAUGGAUCCGCGCCGCAUUAGCUAGUUGGUAAGGUAACGGCUUACCAAGGCAACGAUGCGUAGCCGACCUGAGAGGGUGAUCGGCCACACUGGAACUGAGACACGGUCCAGACUCCUACGGGAGGCAGCAGUAGGGAAUCGUGCGCAAUGGGCGAAAGCCUGACGGAGCAACGCCGCGUGAGUGAUGAAGGUCUUCGGAUCGUAAAACUCUGUUAUUAGGGAAGAACAAAUGUGUAAGUAACUAUGCACGUCUUGACGGUACCUAAUCAGAAAGCCACGGCUAACUACGUG